UCCAUGUCCGCCUUCAGUAUAUCCACCUUAAACAGGAAGAAAAAAAAACACUUAAGCUUUUCCUGUCACAGCUGAGGCUGGGUGAGAGAUCCUUUGAGAAGAAACUGUGCUGCUUACUGCCGCUUGGUCCUCCGGCACACUAUGUACUCGCAUUAAAACCUCAUUACAAGGAUGUGUGUGUGGCUCUGCAUUUAAAACAGUCAUUGAGGAUGGUGGCCAGUUUCUUGGUGCUGGCGUACUGACGCUGGGCGGCAAUAGCGGGGUUGGGAUCUCUCCAGUCUACAG